GUUCCCUGACUCCGUUUCUGUCAAGCUCUGCUUCUUGUCGAUGGAAUGGCAGGAGAGAAUUAUCAUUCUGUUACAGCAGUCCCUGCCAUCACUGAUAGGGGAGCAAAAAAAAUAUAGGUCAAUUAAGAAAUUUAGCUUGGACCACCGUACACAGUCGCACAGGCUGUAAUAUAUGUUAUCACAGCUGCACAACAGAAUCAAAGCAUUAAAGACUAACGUGGUGGCAGGAUGUUUGAUUCCCCCGUCAUCCUUUUUUCUUUUUUUUCCUUUAUGGGCAUACGCCUGGCAGGAGUAUCAGGCUGCUGCAAGACAUUAAAACUGCCUCCCGUGGAUUUAGCAUGCUAUCGCUGUUGGAGUAAAAUAAUGAGCUAACACCCCAGGUAUGUAUGCAUCUGCUUGCAACCUCUGCAAAACCAUUCUGAAAAGCAAGUGGACAAUGGACUUUCAUGAAACGUCUGGAGAAUCAACAUACUUAUACUCUCAAGCAUGGAAAUGAUUAUUUUAACUGAUCAGACACAAAAAAAACCUAUUUCUUGUACUUGUCUAUAUUUCAUGAUUCAUUUUCAUUUUAUUACAGGAGGACAGAAGCUUUAUUUGGUGGCGUUUAACUCAACUACUGAACUGUUUGUCAGUCCAUACAAGACUAUUAAUUUCAACGUAAUGCACAAUGAAUCAAUGUAUUCACAUGUAAGGGACGCUUGUUCUUUCAUAAGCAUGUCAAAAGGGCACUUUUGUUUGCAAACGCUUUAGCAUGAGUGUAACCGAGAAGGGACUUGUUAUUUCUGUGACUCUCGUGGGUAAAAAGCUAGCAUUGCCUCUAACUACAAAUGUCGGGGACUGACAGUAAUGGCAAUUCAUAUAACAUCCUGACACCUGCUUCUCUUUUACAAAUGUCAUUCUCUUGGCAUAUGACUAAUCCUUCAACGUUCUAUAGAUGGGGACAUGCAAUAAAAUAGGAAAUGGGUGAAAUGCAAUGAAGUGGUUUUAAAUAGCUGGCAUUCUGCAUAUAAUUCAGAGUAAUAAAUGGAAGUUCGUCUAACCUUUCCAUAUCAAAAACGAAUCAAGUAAACAGGACUGUUUUUUUAAACUGGAUAAAACUAUAAAAUGAUUAUGCAUUAUAAGAAAAUUUGCUUUGUGAGGAUUUAAUGUGGAUCCACUAUAUAUUUUCUUAAAUGUUAUGUAUUUUUAGAAUAAAAACAUUUACAUUGGAUGCAAGUAAACAACUGACUUGGAUUCAGCAAGGAUUUUACUUAAAGUUUAUCUAUCAAAACUUGUGCGUUUUGGAACAGAGCAAGUAAAAAUCAAAAAAGCAUAAAAAGGCAAAAGCUGGUUCUUUAAUUAAAUCUGAG
rnacentral:lncRNA from 1 species